rnacentral:misc_RNA from 1 species
GCGGAUUCUAGUCGCUCGGUAUUCUCGCGCUCAGCAAGAGAUGAGGAUGAUGAAGAGGCUCUUAAAUGGGCUGCAUUGGAGAAAUUGCCAACGUUUGAUCGGAUGAGAAAAGGUUUAUUGUUUGGAAAAGAAGGUGAAAGUGCUACUGAAGUUGAUACAAAUGAUAUUGGACAUCAAGAAAGGAAGAAUUUGCUUGAUAGGCUUGUGAAGGUUGCUGAUGAAGAUAAUGAGAAGUUCUUGUUGAAACU